rnacentral:snRNA from 1 species
GCCAACUCCUGAAAUGUCAUUUA